GAGGGUAUAGCUCAAGCAGUAGAGUGCAUGCCUAGCAUGCACAAGAUCCUGGGGUCAAUCCUCAGUACCUUCU
rnacentral:tRNA from 1 species